UUUUGUUUAUUUUGAUUUUCAUGUGAAUCCCUAAAUCUUGGAUAACAAUCGGACUCCGAUCAUUCAACAAGCAACAGAGGAAAUACCGUAUGAUUUUGCAAGCUUAUUGUGGGAAGGAAAAGUUCCAUAUGGUCAAUGUCUUGAACUUAUUGAUGAUGACUUAUGCAACUGCAUGAGUCUGAAUCUUUUUCGAACACAAGAGAAUUGAUGGAGUGAUAUAAGAAGGUUUCUUUGUUAAUUGAUUAUUCUCUUCCGCUUACAGGGGAUAGUGCUAAG